rnacentral:rRNA from 1 species
GACGAACGCUGGCGGCGUGCUUAACACAUGCAAGUCGAACGGAAAGGCCCUGCUUUUGUGGGGUGCUCGAGUGGCGAACGGGUGAGUAACACGUGAGUAACCUGCCCUUGACUUUGGGAUAACUUCAGGAAACUGGGGCUAAUACCGGAUAGGAGCUCCUGCUGCAUGGGGGGGGUUGGAAAGUUUCGGCGGGUUGGGAUGGACUCGCGGCUUAUCAGCUUGUUAGUGGGGUAGUGGCUUACCAAGGCUUUGACGGGUAGCCGGCCUGAGAGGGUGACCGGCCACAAUGGGACUGCGAGACGGCGCAGACUCCUACGGGAGGCAGCAGUGGGGAAUAUUGCACAAUGGGCGGAAGCCUGAUGCAGCAACGCCGCGUGCGUGAUGACGGCCUUCGGGUUGUAAACCGCUUUCGCCUGUGACGAAGCGUGAGUGACGGUAAUGUGUAAAGAAGCACCGGCUAACUACGUA